rnacentral:rRNA from 1 species
AGCAGCCGCGGUAAUUCCAGCUCCAAUAGCGUAUAUUAAAGUUGUUGCAGUUAAAAAGCUCGUAGUUGAAUUUCGGGAUCAUCAGGUUGGUCGUGCCUCUGGUAUGUACUGAUUUCGAUGGUUCCUCCUUCUUGAAGAUCCGUAAUGCCAUUAAUUUGGUGUUGCGGGGAAUCAGGACUGUUACUUUGAAAAAUUAGAGUGUUUAAAGCAGGCAAUCGCUUGAAUACAUUAGCAUGGAAUAAUGAAAUAGGACGUUCGAUCCUAUUUUGUUGGUUUCUAGGAUUGACGUAAUGAUUAAUAGGGAUAGUUGGGGGCAUUAGUAUUCAAUUGUCAGAGGUGAAAUUCUUGGAUUUAUUGAAGACUAACUACUGCGAAAGCAUUUGCCAAGGAUGUUUUCAUUAAUCAAGAACGAAAGUUAGGGGAUCGAAGACGAUCAGAUACCGUCGUAGUCUUAACCAUAAACUAUGCCGACUAGGGAUCGGAUGAUGUUAAUUUUUAAUGUA